UGGGGAAUAUUGGACAAUGGGCGAAAGCCUGAUCCAGCCAUGCCGCGUGUGUGAAGAAGGUCUUCGGAUUGUAAAGCACUUUAAGUUGGGAGGAAGGGCAGUAAGCGAAUACCUUGCUGUUUUGACGUUACCGACAGAAUAAGCACCGGCUAACUCUGUGCCAGCAGCCGCGGUAAUACAGAGGGUGCAAGCGUUAAUCGGAAUUACUGGGCGUAAAGCGCGCGUAGGUGGUUCGUUAAGUUGAAUGUGAAAGCCCCGGGCUCAACCUGGGAACUGCAUCCAAAACUGGCGAGCUAGAGUAGGGCAGAGGGGGGUGGAAUUUCCUGUGUAGCGGUGAAAUGCGUAGAUAUAAGAAGGAACACCAGUGGCGAAGGCGACCACCUGGGCUCAUACUGACACUGAGGUGCGAAAGCGUGGGGAGCAAACAGG
rnacentral:rRNA from 1 species